rnacentral:rRNA from 1 species
GGUCAAGCUACAAAGGGCGCAUGGUGAAUGCCUUGGCAUCAGGAGCCGAUGAAGGACGCGAUAAGCUGCGAUAAGCUUCGGGUAGACGCACAUAGUCAGAGAUCCGAAGAUUUCCGAAUGAGG